UUGUUUGAGUAUCAUG
rnacentral:rRNA from 1 species